rnacentral:rRNA from 1 species
AGUGAACGCUGGCGGUAGGCCUAACACAUGCAAGUCGAACGGCAGCACAGUAAGAGCUUGCUCUUACGGGUGGCGAGUGGCGGACGGGUGAGGAAUACAUCGGAAUCUACUUUUUGGGGGGGCUUAAGGAAGGAAACCUUAGGUAAUAACGCAAUCGACCUUCGGGUGGAAGCCGGGGGACUUUUGACCCUGCGGGGUUGGAAGAGGCGGUGUCGGAUUAGCUAGUUGGGGGGGUAAAGGCCCAACAAGGCGACGAUCCGUAGCUGGUCUUGGAGGAUGAUCAGCCACACUGGAACUGAGACACGGUCCAGACUCCUACGGGAGGCAGCAGUGGGGAAUAUUGGACAAUGGGCGCAAGCCUGAUCCAGCCAUACCGCGUGGGUGAAGAAGGCCUUCGGGUUGUAAAGCCCUUUUGUUGGGAAAGAAAAGCAGCAGGUUAAUACCCCGCUGUUCUGACGGUACCCAAAGAAUAAGCACCGGCUAACUUCGUG